rnacentral:rRNA from 1 species
UACGAAGGGGGCGAGCGUUGUUCGGAUUUACUGGGCGUAAAGGGCGCGCAGGCGGCUAUCCAAGUCAGGCGUGAAAGCCCCGGGCUUAACCUGGGAGGUGCGUCUGGGACUGGGUGGCUAGAGUUCGGGAGAGGAGAGUGGAAUUCCCAGUGUAGAGGUGAAAUUCGUAGAUAUCGGGAGGAACACCUGUGGCGAAGGCGGCCCCCUGGUUGGAUACUGACGCUGAUACGCGAAAGCGUGGGGAGCAAACAGG